rnacentral:tRNA from 1 species
UUUAGAGUAAUUUAAUCAAAAAUUUAGGUUUUGAGCCUAAGAAUGGUAAUUAGAUUUACCCUCUA